rnacentral:rRNA from 1 species
GACGAACGCUGGCGGCGUGCUUAACACAUGCAAGUCGAACGCUGAAGCCCUUCGGGGUGGAUGAGUGGCGAACGGGUGAGUAACACGUGGGUAAUCUGCCCUGCACUCUGGGAUAAGCCUUGGAAACGGGGUCUAAUACCGGAUAGGACACAUCGCCGCAUGGUGUGUGUGUGGAAAGUUCCGGCGGUGCAGGUUGAGCCCGCGGCCUAUCAGCUUGUUGGUGGGGUGAUGGCCUACCAAGGCGACGACGGGUAGCCGGCCUGAGAGGGUGACCGGCCACACUGGGACUGAGACACGGCCCAGACUCCUACGGGAGGCAGCAGUGGGGAAUCUUGCGCAAUGGGCGAAAGCCUGACGCAGCAACGCCGCGUGGGGGAUGACGGCCUUCGGGUUGUAAACCUCUUUCGACCGGGACGAAGGAUUCGUUUGACGGUACCGGUAGAAGAAGCACCGGCUAACUACGUGCCAGCAGCCGCCGCCG